GUUGGGAAAUGAUGUGAAGUUACCCAAGAUAUCAAAGGCACUAGCUAUGCUGAAUGUCUUUGUUUUGCACGUCAGUCUGAUCCCAUA
rnacentral:snoRNA from 1 species